rnacentral:rRNA from 1 species
GCAAAAAGGUAUAUUAAGGUUGUUGCGGUUAUUUCUCGUAGUUGGAUUUCUGCUGAGGACGACCGGUCCGCCCAUCGUGGGUGAGUAUCUGGCUUGGCCUUGGCAUCUUCUUGGAGAACGUAGCUGCACUUGACUGUGUGGUGCGGUAUCCAGGACUCUUACUUUGAGGAGAUUAGAGUGUUUGAAGCAGGCGCACGCCUUGAAUACAUUAGCAUGGAAUAAUAAGAUAGGACCAGGUUCUAUUUUGUUGGUUUCUAAAGCUGAGGUAAUGAUUAAUAGGGAUAGUUGGGGGCAUUCGUAUUUAACUGUCAAUGGUGGAAUUCUUUGAUUUGUUAAAGACGGACUACUGCGAAAGCAUUAGCCAAGGAUGUUUUCAUUGAUCAAGAACGAAAGUUAUGGGAUCGAAGACGAUCAGAUACCGUCCUAGUCUUAACCAUAAACCAUGCCGACUAGAGAUUGGAGGUAGGUAUCUUGACGACUCCUUCAGCACCUUAUGAGAAAUCAAAAUAUUUGGGUUCCGCGGGGAGUAUGGUCGCAUGGCUGAAACUUAAAGGAAUUGAAGGAAGGGCACCACCAGGAGUGGAGCUUGCGGCUUAAUUUGAUUCAACCGGGGGAAGCUCACCGGUCCGGACUAGUAAGGAUUGA